GGGGUAGAAGGCCAGAUGCUUUUAGGUCCAGGCUGUUUUUGGUUCCAAGAGACUACUGGUGAACUGUAGAAUAGUACAUCAUUUGCUUUAUGGCUGAAGGUAGGUCAUAGAGAGGAUAACUGAGGAAUUCAUUGGCAAGCUUGUGGGUGUUGCUUUUUACAGUAAUUUAUUGUGAAAUAUAGUCUGGCGCAGUUUUUAGAGCUGGGGGUCAAAGUCAGAGACAGAUUAGAGGCCAGAGUGAUUGGGUCCAGGACUUAGAUAGGUGGGCAAGAUUGAGCAUCCAAAAAUUUGAAUACUUAGCAGACAGGUCUGAGACCAGAGUGUGAAAGCCUAGAGUCCAUCAGCAUCACGUGAUUGUUGCUUCACUAGGCAGGAAGCUGCUUGCUCAUCACCUGAUUCAGAGUUUCUUUCUCUGCUUCUCAUCCCUGGGGGCUACAAACCUUCAUAUAUCCAAGUGUCAAUUUCACUUCCUAGCAGCUUCAGCACAAUUGGGAGCCAGAGCGUUACCUUUUAGAAGGGGAGGAUGACCAUUCCAGGCUGUGGAGAGAUCUUUGACAAUAGAAUAAUUUUCUGGAAUAAGGGACAUUCAGUGCCCCUGACCCAUCAAGUUGCAUCAUCAUCUUCCAGCUUCUCCAGGGCCUUGAGCCACUGAAGGGCUGUCCUCCCUUCGUGGUUCUCUGCCUUUUGUCCUGGGCUGACAUCAUCCAUCAGUGACAAUGCUUCCCAGAGGCAGGGAUUUUACCCACAGGGAAUGAACUAGAGGUCCACAUCCUUCUAGAGUGUUUGAUGCUCUACCUCUGUGUCCACCGCUGGGGAAUGGGAGCAAUAAUUAUUUAGGUUUGGAUAUGUGAUUCUGACC
rnacentral:lncRNA from 1 species